UGAGUAACACAGGUGAACGCAGCCAUUCAGACGAAAGGGAAUGGAUGAGGAAAGUCCGAGCUCCAUAGGGCAGGAUGCCGGAUAACGUCCGGUGGAGGUGACUCCCAGGCUAGUGCAACAGAAAUAAACCGCCAGAUUCCGGUCUGGUAAGGGUGGAACGGUGAGGUAAGAGCUCACCGCCUCUCUGGUAACAGGGAGGGCAUAUGUAAACCCCAUUCGGAGCAAGACCGAACAGGAAGCGAUACGGCUGCCCGUCGUGCUUCCGGGUAGGUCGCUGGAGCCUGUUGGUAACAGCAGGCCUAGAUAGAUGUUCACCCAACGACAGAACUCGGCUUAUCGUGUUACUCAUUUU
rnacentral:RNase_P_RNA from 1 species